CCUACGGGAGGCAGCAGUGAGGAAUAUUGGUCAAUGGACGGAAGUCUGAACCAGCCAUGCCGCGUGCAGGAAGACGGCUCUAUGAGUUGUAAACUGCUUUUGUACAAGGGUAAACCUGAAUACGUGUAUUCGGCUGAAAGUACUGUACGAAUAAGGAUCGGCUAACUCCGUGCCAGCAGCCGCGGUAAUACGGAGGAUCCAAGCGUUAUCCGGAUUUAUUGGGUUUAAAGGGUGCGUAGGCGGAUUGAUAAGUUAGAGGUGAAAUGUCCGAGCUUAACUCGGGAACUGCCGCUAAUGCUGUUGAUCUAGAGAGUAGAUGCGGUAGGCGGAAUGUAUGGUGUAGCGGUGAAAUGCUUAGAGAUCAUACAGAACACCGAUUGCGAAGGCAGCUUACCAAUCUAUAUCUGACGUUGAGGCACGAAAGCGUGGGGAGCAAACAGGAUUAGAUACCCGGGUAGUC
rnacentral:rRNA from 1 species